rnacentral:rRNA from 1 species
UUGAAGAGUUUGAUCAUGGCUCAGAUUGAACGCUGGCGGCAGGCCUAACACAUGCAAGUCGAACGGUAACAGGAAACAGCUUGCUGUUUCGCUGACGAGUGGCGGACGGGUGAGUAAUGUCUGGGAAACUGCCUGAUGGAGGGGGAUAACUACUGGAAACGGUAGCUAAUACCGCAUAACGUCGCAAGACCAAAGAGGGGGACCCUCGGGCCUCUUGCCAUCGGAUGUGCCCAGAUGGGAUUAGCUUGUUGGUGGGGUAACGGCUCACCAAGGCGACGAUCCCUAGCUGGUCUGAGAGGAUGACCAGCCACACUGGAACUGAGACACGGUCCAGACUCCUACGGGAGGCAGCAGUGGGGAAUAUUGCACAAUGGGCGCAAGCCUGAUGCAGCCAUGCCGCGUGUAUGAAGAAGGCCUUCGGGUUGUAAAGUACUUUCAGCGGGGAGGAAGGGAGUAAAGUUAAUACCUUUGCUCAUUGACGUUACCCGCAGAAGAAGCACCGGCUAACUCCGUGCCAGCAGCCGCGGUAAUACGGAGGGUGCAAGCGUUAAUCGGAAUUACUGGGCGUAAAGCGCACGCAGGCGGUUUGUUAAGUCAGAUGUGAAAUCCCCGGGCUCAACCUGGGAACUGCAUCUGAUACUGGCAAGCUUGAGUCUCGUAGAGGGGGUAGAAUUCCAGGUGUAGCGGUGAAAUGCGUAGAGAUCUGGAGGAAUACCGGUGGCGAAGGCGGCCCCCUGGACGAAGACUGACGCUCAGGUGCGAAAGCGUGGGGAGCAAACAGGAUUAGAUACCCUGGUAGUCCACGCCGUAAACGAUGUCGACUUGGAGGUUGUGCCCUUGAGGCGUGGCUUCCGGAGCUAACGCGUUAAGUCGACCGCCUGGGGAGUACGGCCGCAAGGUUAAAACUCAAAUGAAUUGACGGGGGCCCGCACAAGCGGUGGAGCAUGUGGUUUAAUUCGAUGCAACGCGAAGAACCUUACCUGGUCUUGACAUCCACGGAAGUUUUCAGAGAUGAGAAUGUGCCUUCGGGAACCGUGAGACAGGUGCUGCAUGGCUGUCGUCAGCUCGUGUUGUGAAAUGUUGGGUUAAGUCCCGCAACGAGCGCAACCCUUAUCCUUUGUUGCCAGCGGUCCGGCCGGGAACUCAAAGGAGACUGCCAGUGAUAAACUGGAGGAAGGUGGGGAUGACGUCAAGUCAUCAUGGCCCUUACGACCAGGGCUACACACGUGCUACAAUGGCGCAUACAAAGAGAAGCGACCUCGCGAGAGCAAGCGGACCUCAUAAAGUGCGUCGUAGUCCGGAUUGGAGUCUGCAACUCGACUCCAUGAAGUCGGAAUCGCUAGUAAUCGUGGAUCAGAAUGCCACGGUGAAUACGUUCCCGGGCCUUGUACACACCGCCCGUCACACCAUGGGAGUGGGUUGCAAAAGAAGUAGGUAGCUUAACCUUCGGGAGGGCGCUUACCACUUUGUGAUUCAUGACUGGGGUGAAGUCGUAACAAGGUAACCGUAGGGGAACCUGCGGUUGGAUCACCUCCUU